GACGAACGCUGGCGGCGUGCUUAACACAUGCAAGUCGAACGGAAAGGCCCUGCUUUUGUGGGGUGCUCGAGUGGCGAACGGGUGAGUAACACGUGAGUAACCUGCCCUUGACUUUGGGAUAACUUCAGGAAACUGGGGCUAAUACCGGAUAGGAGCUCCUGCUGCAUGGUGGGGGUUGGAAAGUUUCGGCGGUUGGGGAUGGACUCGCGGCUUAUCAGCUUGUUGGUGGGGUAGUGGCUUACCAAGGCUUUGACGGGUAGCCGGCCUGAGAGGGUGACCGGCCACAUUGGGACUGAGAUACGGCCCAGACUCCUACGGGAGGCAGCAGUGGGGAAUAUUGCACAAUGGGCGGAAGCCUGAUGCAGCAACGCCGCGUGCGGGAUCACGGCCUUCGGGUUGUAAACCGCUUUCGCCUGUGACGAGGCGUGAGUGACGGUAAUGGGUAAAGAAGCACCGGCUAACUACGUG
rnacentral:rRNA from 1 species